UGCUACCUGACCUGAGUACCAUGUGAACUGUGAAAAUAAGGGCUCCAGGGAGCUGGUCGUGAUCUAAUAUUACCGCUGACCGUAUGUUUGUGUGUGUGUGUG